UACAGAGGAUGCAAGCGUUAUCCGGAAUGAUUGGGCGUAAAGCGUCUGUAGGUGGCUUUUUAAGUCCGCCGUCAAAUCCCAGGGCUCUACUCUGGACAGGCGGUGGAAACUACCAAGCUGGAGUACGGUAGGGGCAGAGGGAAUUUCCGGUGGAGCGAUGAAAUGCGUAGAGAUCGGAAAGAACACAAACGGUGAAAGCACUCUGCUGGGCCGACACUGACAUUGAGAGACGGAAGCUAGCGGAGCGAAUGGG
rnacentral:rRNA from 1 species